UAUGGAGAGUUUGAUCCUGGCUCAGAGUGAACGCUGGUGGCGUGCCUAAUACAUGCAAGUCGAACGAUGAAGCUUUCUAGCUUGCUAGAAUGCUGAUUAGUGGCGCACGGGUGAGUAACGCAUAGGUCAUGUGCCUCUUAGUUUGGGAUAGCCAUUGGAAACGAUGAUUAAUACCAGAUACUCCCUACGGGGGAAAGAUUUAUCGCUAAGAGAUCAGCCUAUGUCCUAUCAGCUUGUUGGUAAGGUAAUGGCUUACCAAGGCUAUGACGGGUAUCCGGCCUGAGAGGGUGAACGGACACACUGGAACUGAGACACGGUCCAGACUCCUACGGGAGGCAGCAGUAGGGAAUAUUGCUCAAUGGGGGAAACCCUGAAGCAGCAACGCCGCGUGGAGGAUGAAGGUUUUAGGAUUGUAAACUCCUUUUGUUAGAGAAGAUAAUGACGGUAUCUAACGAAUAAGCACCGGCUAACUCCGUGCCAGCAGCCGCGGUAAUACGGAGGGUGCAAGCGUUACUCGGAAUCACUGGGCGUAAAGAGCGCGUAGGCGGGAUAGUCAGUCAGGUGUGAAAUCCUAUGGCUUAACCAUAGAACUGCAUUUGAAACUACUAUUCUAGAGUGUGGGAGAGGUAGGUGGAAUUCUUGGUGUAGGGGUAAAAUCCGUAGAGAUCAAGAGGAAUACUCAUUGCGAAGGCGACCUGCUGGAACAUUACUGACGCUGAUUGUGCGAAAGCGUGGGGAGCAAACAGGAUUAGAUACCCUGGUAGUCCACGCCCUAAACGAUGGAUGCUAGUUGUUGGAGGGCUUAGUCUCUCCAGUAAUGCAGCUAACGCAUUAAGCAUCCCGCCUGGGGAGUACGGUCGCAAGAUUAAAACUCAAAGGAAUAGACGGGGACCCGCACAAGCGGUGGAGCAUGUGGUUUAAUUCGAAGAUACACGAAGAACCUUACCUAGGCUUGACAUUGAGAGAAUCCGCUAGAAAUAGUGGAGUGUCUGGCUUGCCAGACCUUGAAAACAGGUGCUGCACGGCUGUCGUCAGCUCGUGUCGUGAGAUGUUGGGUUAAGUCCCGCAACGAGCGCAACCCCCUUUCUUAGUUGCUAACAGGUUAUGCUGAGAACUCUAAGGAUACUGCCUCCGUAAGGAGGAGGAAGGUGGGGACGACGUCAAGUCAUCAUGGCCCUUACGCCUAGGGCUACACACGUGCUACAAUGGGGUGCACAAAGAGAAGCAAUACUGCGAAGUGGAGCCAAUCUUCAAAACACCUCUCAGUUCGGAUUGUAGGCUGCAACUCGCCUGCAUGAAGCUGGAAUCGCUAGUAAUCGCAAAUCAGCCAUGUUGCGGUGAAUACGUUCCCGGGUCUUGUACUCACCGCCCGUCACACCAUGGGAGUUGUGUUUGCCUUAAGUCAGGAUGCUAAAUUGGCUACUGCCCACGGCACACACAGCGACUGGGGUGAAGUCGUAACAAGGUAACCGUAGGUGAACCUGCGGUUGGAUCACCUCCUU
rnacentral:rRNA from 1 species